AAUCUGAAAGUAACAAGAACUCAUAAUUAGUUAUGUCUCAAAAGGUAUUUCACUCCUUUAUGGAUAAAAGAAUGAGAGCUUAAAGGUGACUUGUGGUACUCAAGGAUGCUAACACAGCAGGAUGCUUUGGUCUCUGAUAUGCUGUCCAUGCUUGUUUUCAGAUAAAGUUAAUGUUUCCUAUAGUUUGUAUAUCUUAUUAGUAAUUCUCAUCUACUGGAUACUUGUUUUGCAGCAAUCCCUUGAGAAAACAUUGAGGCUGAAAUUCAGAAAAACUGAUGUGUAUGUCUACAACUCUAUCACCUAUUACAGAACUGCUACAGAUGGAAGUGUUCUUUCCUCUAUCUCAAAUAUUUAAAAAAGCAUGUAAUUAUAACAUUGAUAAACUUAUUAAGACCCCAAACAGCCUAGACUGAAGGACAGCUUCUGGAGAUCAUCUUGUUCCUUUUGAGAUUUUAUGCCUUUUAUUCCCUUCCUGCUUAGCUGAGAACUCCUGGUAUACCUGGUGGUGCACCAAGAGGAGCUAGCUGUAUCCGUUGUCCAGCUGAUCCAACUUCUUUUUUGUGAAAGGAAGGGAUAUAUACUCCUGAUGGGUUGUAAGUAGCACCACUUACAAAGCCAGGAUUUCCUGUUGACAUUACAGAGUUUUAGUAUUUUCAGUUAGAUUCAAAAAACCUUGCCUACUUUUUAUAGUCACUUUAAAAUAUAUUUGCAGUACCACAAGAGUACUAAGUAGGAGUGUUCUUUAAAAACUCCCUAGUGCUUGUCUGUUGGAAGAAAAUACAUAUUCAUUGUUUGCUUUGUAUAUUAGCCGGACCCUUUACAGCACUUAACAGACUUGCUAAAUUGCAGAUCCAGUACAUCUGAUCUGCAGUUCAGCAGGAAUAAAGACAACAGAGCAGGAUGAACAUUUCAUUAGUACUUUCAUUAAACUUAGACCAUAUAGAAAGGUUUACACUGAGUUUGAGAGAAAGGUAGGAUCUUAGCUUUUGCUUACAGCUACUUGCUUUACUGGAAGCUCAUUUAAGUGCUUCAGUAUAUGAAAACCAGUACUCAACAGUACUCUUGUUCAACAUGUUCAGCCUAAAUCUAUCUGAAGUAAUGGAACCAGACUUCUCUUGUGGGAAGUGGUGCACCACUUGAAGUUGACUCGGCUGGUUCCACAGUUAAAGGCCUGCUAUGAAAGUCAGACCUAAUUACCCUCUUUCUUCAACCCCAGUUAUAAUUCUAUUAUGCCUAGUUUUGGUCCAGAUCUUUCUUUAAAGCAGUGCUACCUUGGGAAGUUUGACAUAACCAUCCUCAUUUGGAAGCUGAGAAACAUUGUGCAUUUACAGACAAAAUUAGUACUGAAAUUAUUGUCCAAUGCCAGAGGGAUUUGUUACAAUACUUAGGCUCCCUGCUCCAAGGAAAUUUCUUACCUUCUCUGUGUCUGUCAUCACUUGGGACAGUGUUAAGACCAUGCUGGCACAAUGUCCAGAGAGAAAUGCUUUUCUCUAGUGAUUUGGUUCUAUAUUCAGUAGUAUUAAAUUUGUGAACUACAAGGCCAUACACAGUAGUUUUAAUGUGACCUUUAUCAAGUGUGAGUAUUUUUAUAUUAAUAUUCAGCAUAGUUUCAAUGGUAGUUGCAGUAAAACACGCAAUAUCUGAUUUGACAGUUUUUCUGUCUCCUAAACACCUGGCCUCAGUACAAUCCCAAAACAUUCCUCUUCACACAAACACUCCCAGUCCUCUGUGGUAAUUUCAGAGCAGAGGAUCUAUAAGCUGCAAAACUGGUCAUGUACAAACUCCAAAAGGUAUCCUCAGCUAGUUACAGCUGUGUUGGGUCAUUGCAUAUGUCCCUGUUCAGGAACAUUAACAAAAAGCAUUCAGCUAACUCAGUUUUGCCGGUCUCCCCAAACUGUCACUUCUGUCAGUUCUGCAAAUAGUUAAAUCUCCUUGUGGCUUCCCUGUGUCCAGUUGAUGCCAGUCUCCAGUACAGUAAAGAAUGACACAAGAGUCCUGGUGAAAAAUACAACUUUUAAUAAAGUAUUCUAAUUAAAAUUUAA